GAUGAACGCUAGCGGCAGGCUUAAUACAUGCAAGUCGUGGGGCAGCAUGAGUAGCAAUACUUGAUGGCGACCGGCAAACGGGUGAGGAACACGUACACAACCUUCCUUCAAGCGGGGAAUAGCCCAGAGAAAUUUGGAUUAAUACCCCAUAAUAUAUUUGAUAAGGCAUCUUAUUAAUAUUAAAGCUUCGGCACUUGAUGAUGGGUGUGCGGCUGAUUAGAUAGUUGGCGGGUAACGGCCCACCAAGUCUACGAUCAGUAGCUGAUGUGAGAGCAUGAUCAGCCACACGGGCACUGAGACACGGGCCCGACUCCUACGGGAGGCAGCAGUAAGGAAUAUUGGACAAUGGACGAAAGUCUAAUCCAGCCAUGCCGCGUGAAGGAUUAAGGUCCUCUGGAUUGUAAACUUCUUUAUAUGGGACGAAAAAAGGGCAUUCUUGUUCACUUGACGGUACCAUAUGAAUAAGCACCGGCUAACUCCGUGCCAGCAGCC
rnacentral:rRNA from 1 species